CACUUGGAGCCUGAUGAUGGAGUUUCCCCUUCUCAUCAAAUUCAUUCUUAUCUGCUGUGGUAUCUCUCAUUUUCCUUGUUCCCAGGCACAAUGAAGGGCAGGAUUAGAGUGCAGGGGCCAGCCAUGGCCUCCCGGGAGACUGGCCCCUAGCGCUACAGGAGGGCAGCGAGUGGCACAUGGCUCAGCCUUUGGCACUCAGAUCUGGCUGAAGAGGAACCACCGCAGCCCUCAUUUUACUGCCAUGCUUGUUCCUGCUUUCCUUCCGUGGUCACUGGACUUGUUCCAUGGAGCAGCUCUCCCCACCCAGCCUACAGGAAGGCAUGGAAGGUGGUACCUGGGAACUGCAGAUGGUGAUUUAGGUCACGGGGGCUCUGCUGUGGCCCCAAUGCUCCAGAUUAAGGCAACUGGCCAGUCAUUCCUGCAAUGCUUAAAUUUAUUCAUCUUUGAAACAGUACUGAAGGUACUCCUCUUUCCCAGAGAAAGGAAGAGAUGCAAUGAUUAUAUUGUGUUAAAAACUGGUCCACGAUCACCAGAAACUUUUCUACUCCUGUAAGAUGCUGUGUGGAGGAGCAGCAGGGUAUGCUUAGAAAGAGUCCUGGACUGGAAGUCAGAGGACUGAGGUUCGAGCCUGAGCUCCAUCACCACCAAGCUAUGUGAACUUGGUCAAAGCAGGGACCUCCUGAUAUCUCAGUGGUAAAACAAGGUCAUGAUUCUUGUUUCAUUCCUUUCCCAGGAAUACAGUGAGAAUUGAGUGAGAUAAGCUGAUGGCUAGGCUUCUAAACUGCAGAGCUGGGUUCCAGACACCCUAGACCACCCCCCCAAAAGGUGGAGUCUGAUCUUGUGUUGCGGACUUUGCAUAUGCUGCUCCCUCUGAAAGGCCCUUCUCUCCUCCUCUUCUACCUAGAAAAUACUCACCCUUCAAGACCCAACUUAAAAGUCAUUCUCCAAGAAGCUUAUCCAAAGCAAAACAAAGGAUUUCCUCCUCUGUG